UACAUAACUAAAAGUUGAGUGCAUUGAGUUAACUUCGAUCUUUAAUCAUGAAAACUUUAAUAUUUCGCUUGUUAAAAUUUUAAACAUGAGUUAACCUCCCGUAAAUUUUAAAAUAUGACACUUGUUAUAUUUGCUUCUUCCUUGGUAAAAAUGUUAUAGAGCACCAUAUAAUUUGGAUCAAGAGCACCAUUUGCUCAACUCAUGUUUUAAUUAGUGUAGGAUAAAUUUGAGGGGUGUUGAAUUGAAUGAUCAUCCUGAUCGUAUCUUGGGAAGGAUAAAAGAGUUAUGGAAUAAAUGGAGAGGAUACUUGCAUUUUGUCUCCUGGCCAGCGGGAGCUUUCUUUGAAAAAUUUUCUGGUUAUCUCAAAUUUGUUUCCUACAGCUUUGUUGAUGUUGGAUAUGGGUAAGGCGGUUUAACCAUUUCUAGUGUAAAAUUUACGUAUAUUAUUUUAUCAAUAGUUAUUUAUAGUCUUUUCAAAAUUUUGUACUUGCAGAUUUGAAGAUUAAAGUUACAAAUCAAGAUGCAAGUUUAGAAGAUGCACAAGGUCAUUAUAAUUUUGCUUGGAAUGUUAUGCAAAACUUCAUUUCAUAGUUUAGCUCGGGAUGUUAGCUAAGUUUUUUUGUUAAAGUGUUGAGCAAAUAUUGAAACUAACAUCAUGGAAUGUAAAUUACCAUUUUAUAUUAUAUUUUCAGUUGCGAUUUUA